AGGCAUUCCCAGCUCCCACUUCCAUUCCUGGCGUACAGUAGGCGCUAGAUAAAUCCUUCCAGCCUUGUUAACUCAUGUUGGUAGCGGCGAUCCCUUGGCUAACUGAAACUCCGUGCCCUCUUUGACUGGGGGUGAAGCAAAUGGCUUCCGGGAAUUAACUGGCUCUAAAAUCCUGUAAUGUGGCUGUCUUGAUUAUACUGAUGCUUUCCAGUUUAUAGUGUUAAGGC
rnacentral:lncRNA from 1 species